AUUGUUUCUCAGCCUUUUGGCUAAGAUCAAGCGUACAUCUAUUCUUUCCAGUUUAAUACUUGAUAUGUCCUCUAUUUGAGGAUGCAAUAUUAAAUGAAUUUUUGGAACUCAGAGAUGGAAUAGGAGCUUGCUCAAUCCACUUCACAUAUUGACCUGGCCUAUCAGUAUUCUCAGAAAUGGUACCCCCAAG
ensembl:snRNA U2 U2 spliceosomal RNA